GUGUCAGCAGCCGCGGUAAUACGUAGGGGGCGAGCGUUGUCCGAAUUUACUGGGCGUAAAGCGCGCGUAGGCGGAUAUUUAAGUUGUGGGUGAAAUGCCGGAGCUCAACUGCGGAACUGCCUGCAAAACUGGAUAUCUUGAGGUAUGGAGAGGGAAGUGGAAUUCCUGGUGUAGCGGUGAAAUGCGUAGAUAUCAGGAGGAACACCCGUGGCGAAGGCGGCUUCCUGGCCAUAUCCUGACGCUGAGGUGCGAAAGCUAGGGGAGCGAACGGGAUUAGAUACCCCGGUAGUCCUAGCCGUAAACGAUGGAUACUAGGUGUUGGAAGUAUCGACCCUUCCAGUGCCGCAGCUAACGCAUUAAGUAUCCCGCCUGGGGAGUACGGCCGCAAGGCUGAA
rnacentral:rRNA from 1 species